UAUACUACCAUUAGACGCAUAUAGCAAUACAAAUAAGAUAUGUAAGGAAAUCUUAAAAUAUGCAAUUUCUAAUCACGAUUUAGUGCUAACAUUAAAAACAAUGGAUACUUUUUUAGAAUUAGUACUAUAUAAAAAUUCGCUUAAAGAUAUAGUUUAUUUUUUAAAUACGAUUGGGGAAUACAUAAUUAUACCAUACUUGACAUAUGAAUUGAAUGUAUCUGGUAAAAAUAGGAGUUAUAACAAUAGGGAAAGUAGUAUGAACCAAAUGGAUGAAAUAAACCAAAUAAAUGGAACGAGUCAAAUGAAUGGCGCGAAUGGUGAAUAUUUUAGGCCAAACAUUGAAACAUGGCAAAACAGGUAUAUUCCUCAUAGUAAUAAUCAACAUAUCUAUGAAAAUGGUAAUGAAAAUGGUAAUGAAAAUGAUAAUAAAAAUGGUAAUGAAAAUGGUAAUGAAUCACGCUCAUUCAAUUACACAAACUUUCAUAAAGUGCUAUGUAGAAUACCUUUACAUGAAUACCAAUCCUUACAACUGUUACAAUUAUAUUCAUUACAUUACCCUAUGUUUUUUAAAAUUAAUGAUAAACCACAAAGGUGUUUAAAAAAUUGUUUAAGACCUUGUGAAUACUAUAGUAAUACACUACCAACCUAUGGAUCGUAUAUAUUUCAAUUUUCCGUUGUUUUUGAAAUUGAUAAUUCUAUAAAAGUAUUAGACGAACAUGGGUCGAAGUGCAAAAUAUUAUUUCAAUUAAGUGAAGAUGACAAUGAUAAAAAUAACCAAUUGGAUAUUGAUGUUACUUCAAGUGAAGAUAAUAAAGUAAACAAUUUUCUGGAAAUAAAUUUUAUACAAAAUCAUAUGUAUACGAAAAUUAUAAAGCAUACACAGUUAGGUAAUAAUAUGAAAGAAAAAGAAGGUGAAAUGUUUAGCAAUGUUAAGCAAAAUUCUUAUCAAACUAAUGAUAAAAAAUAUUCUAAUUAUAUUAUUCGUGACAAAGUAUUUAGUAAUGAUAAUAAUAGCAGUAGUAACUACUAUAACUGUAAUAACACAACAAACAAACAUAUAAAUGUAUAUGAUGUUACCAAUAUGAACACAAUUGUUUUUGACAUAUUGGUAGAUCAAGGAUGUUAUAACAAUGAUAGCAGUGAUGGAAAUAUGGCUGAAAAUGAUCAUACAGAUAUAGUCAUUUAUUCUAAUGGAAAAUAUCUAUUAUCAACUUGUGUAAAAAAGGGUUCUGUUUGUCUUGGAGGCAAUAGCAGUGUUGACAAAGGAAACAAAAGCGACAAAAGCGACAAAAGCGAUAAAAGCGGCAAAAGCGAUAAUGACAAACUCGUGCUAAAUAAUAGUAUAAGGUUAAAGGUAUUUACAUCCCGAACAUGUGUUGCUGAAUUUCCAAAAGAGUUUAAUUGCUCUUCCACAUUUGUAAACGAAUUAAUUAAUAGAAAAUUGAUAUUAGAUAAUAAUAAAAACUUUUUAUUAAAAAAUCAUAUAAACAUUAUUGAAUUUUAUAAUAAAGUUUCCACUGCAUUAAAUCGAUACAUAUAUCGUUUUUACGAUUGGAAUCAUAGUGAUCAUAAAAAUAAAAUUAAAAAGGAGUAUGUUUGUUUAUCAUAUAAUAAUGUGGACAUUUACACAUUUGAAGUAUUAAUUAAAUUUAUAGAAAACAAUAAUAAAAUUCUUAGAAGGUUGAGCAAAUUGGCAAGGAGUUGUUUAGAAGUGGAAUAUAUAGGAACGGGUGUCAGGGAGGAAUGUGUAGGAGCGAGUGUCGUGGAGGAAUAUAUAGGCGCGAGUGUAGGGGGCGAAUGCGUAAGAUCGGCCGCCAUAACAGAAUGUCCAAACGGGUUGGUUGCUACUAAUAAUGAGCAUAGUAACAGUUACAACAAUGGCAAGAGCUACAGUAAUGUCUCUUUCGCUAAAUAUCGACAAUACCUAUACGAAUGGAAUAAAAUGUCCGAUGCACAUAAUUACGCAUUAAGCAUUUUAAAGUUAUAUUUAAAAAGUGAUAUAAACACAACAAAUAAUGACAUAAUAGAAAAUAAUGAUAAUUUUUACUCAUUAGCAGAAAGAUUAAUGGUAUGUUUUUUAAAAAUUAUUAAAUUAAAAACACCGUUCAUAAAUAAAAAAGAUUUUUAUACAGAUUCUAAUUAUGAAAUAGAAGAGUUAGAUACUAAUGGUACUUUAUGGUUAUUAAGAAGAAAUGUAUACCAAAUUCUUUUAGAGGGAGAUAAAAUAAUAAUAAGUAAUAUAUUUUUGAGAAUAAGUAUAAAAAUUAUUUUAAAAUUACUUAAGUUUUUUUU
rnacentral:lncRNA from 1 species